rnacentral:rRNA from 1 species
GACGAACGCUGGCGGCGUGCUUAACACAUGCAAGUCGAACGGAAAGGCCCUGCUUUUGUGGGGUGCUCGAGUGGCGAACGGGUGAGUAACACGUGAGUAACCUGCCCUUGACUUUGGGAUAACUUCAGGAAACUGGGGCUAAUACCGGAUAGGAGCUCCUGCUGCAUGGUGGGGGUUGGAAAGUUUCGGCGGUUGGGGAUGGACUCGCGGCUUAUCAGCUUGUUGGUGGGGUAGUGGCUUACCAAGGCUUUGACGGGUAGCCGGCCUGGGAGGGUGACCGGCCACAUUGGGACUGCGAUACGGACCAGACUCCUACGGGAGGCAGCAGUGGGGAAUAUUGCACAGUGGGCGGGAGCCUGAUGCAGCAACGCCGCGUGCGGGAUGACGGCCUUCGGGUUGUAAACCGCUUUCGCCUGUGACGAAGCGUGAGUGACGGUAAUGGGUAAAGAAGCACCGGCUAACUACGUG